rnacentral:tRNA from 1 species
GGAGGCGUAGCCCAGCUGGUCAGAGCGCUUGCUUGACAUGCAAGAGGUCGGUGGUUCGAGCCCACUCGUCUCCA